GACGAACGCUGGCGGCGUGCUUAACACAUGCAAGUCGAACGGAAAGGCCCUGCUUUUGUGGGGUGCUCGAGUGGCGAACGGGUGAGUAACACGUGAGUAACCUGCCCUUGACUUUGGGAUAACUUCAGGAAACUGGGGCUAAUACCGGAUAGGAGCUCCUGCUGCAUGGUGGGGGUUGGAAAGUUUCGGCGGUUGGGGAUGGACUCGCGGCUUAUCAGCUUGUUGGUGGGGUGGUGGCUUACCAAGGCUUUGACGGGUAGCCGGCCUGAGAGGGUGACCGGCCACAUUGGGACUGAGAUACGGCCCAGACUCCUACGGGAGGCAGCAGUGGGGAAUAUUGCACAAUGGGCGGAAGCCUGAUGCAGCAACGCCGCGUGCGGGAUGACGGCCUUCGGGUUGUAAACCGCUUUCGCCUGUGACGAAGCGUGAGUGAUGGUAAUGGGUAAAGAAGCACCGGCUAACUACGUG
rnacentral:rRNA from 1 species